rnacentral:rRNA from 1 species
UGAAUACGAGAUGCUACGGCGUCGAAGCAGUCUAUGUCAUACUUCCAAGAAAAGCUUGCACUGUCAUAAACAAAUAAUGCCUGUACCAUAACCGACACAGGUGGGUAGGUAGAGUAUACUAAGGGGCGCGAGAUAACUCUCUCUAAGGAACUCGGCAAAAUGACACCGUAACUUCGGGAGAAGGAGUGCCUUAUUUAUAAGGUUGCAAUAACAAGAUCCAAGCAACUGUUUACCAAAAACACAGGUCUCCGCUAAGUCGUAAGACGAUGUAUGGGGGCUGACGCCUGCCCAGUGCCAGAAGGUUAAAGAAGUUGGUUAGCAUCCGCGAAGCUGAUAACUGAAGCCCUGGUGAACGGCGGCCGUAACAAUAACGGUCCUAAGGUAGCGAAAUUCCUUGUCGGGUAAGUUCCGACCCGCACGAAAGGCGUAAUGAUUUGGAUACUGUCUCGGAGAGGGGCUCGGUGAAAUAGACUUGUCUGUGAAGAUGCGGACUACCUGCACCAGGACAGAAAGACCCUAUGAAGCUUUACUGUAACCUGAAAUUGAAAUUGGACUUUACUUGCGCAGUAUAGGUGGGAGGCGUUGAGAAUAUUCUUGCGGGAUUAUUGGAGCCAUCAGUGAGAUACCACUCUUGUAAUGUUAGAUUUCUAACUUUGUAUCAUUAUCUGGUCAAAGAACAGUUUCAGGCGGGCAGUUUGACUGGGGCGGUCGCCUCCUAAACGGUAACGGAGGCGCACAAAGGUUUCCUCUGAACGGGUAGAAAUCGUAUCUAGAGUGUAAAGGCAUAAGGAAGCUUGACUGUGAGACCUACAAGUCGAGCAGGGACGAAAGUCGGUCUUAGUGAUCUGACGGUGCUGAGUGGAAAGGCCGUCACUCAACGGAUAAAAGUUACUCUAAGGAUAACAGGCUGAUCUCCCCCAAGAGUUCACAUCGACGGGGAGGUUUGGCACCUCGAUGUCGGCUCAUCGCAUCCUGGGGCGGUAGUACGUCCCAAGGGUUGGGCUGUUCGCCCAUGAAAGCGGUACGCGAGCUGGGUUCAGAACGUCGUGAGACAGUUCGGUCCAUAUCCGGUGUAGGCGUUAGAAUAUUGAGAGGAGCCUUCUUUAGUACGAGAGGACCGAGAAGGACAUACCUCUGGUGUACCAGUUAUCGUGCCAACGGUAAACGCUGGGUAGCUAUGUGUGGAGUGGAUAACCGCUGAAAGCAUCUAAGUGGGAAGCCCACCUCAAGUUAAGUAUUCUCAUA